rnacentral:rRNA from 1 species
GUACACUCCUACGGGAGGCAGCAGUGGGGAAUUUUGGACAAUGGGCGCAAGCCUGAUCCAGCCAUGCCGCGUGCGGGAAGAAGGCCUUCGGGUUGUAAACCGCUUUUGUCAGGGAAGAAAAGGUUCUGGCUAAUACCUGGGACUCAUGACGGUACCUGAAGAAUAAGCUCCGGCUAACUACGUGCCAGCAGCCGCGGUAAUACGUAGGGUGCAAGCGUUAAUCGGAAUUACUGGGCGUAAAGCGUGCGCAGGCGGUUAUGCAAGACAGAGGUGAAAUCCCCGGGCUCAACCUGGGAACUGCCUUUGUGACUGCAUGGCUAGAGUACGGUAGAGGGGGAUGGAAUUCCGCGUGUAGCAGUGAAAUGCGUAGAUAUGCGGAGGAACACCGAUGGCGAAGGCAAUCCCCUGGACCUGUACUGACGCUCAUGCACGAAAGCGUGGGGAGCAAACAGGAUUAGAAACCCUAGUAGUCCCAUG